AUUGAACGCUGGCGGCAGGCCUAACACAUGCAAGUCGAGCGGAUGACGGGAGCUUGCUCCUUGAUUCAGCGGCGGACGGGUGAGUAAUGCCUAGGAAUCUGCCUGGUAGUGGGGGACAACGUUUCGAAAGGAACGCUAAUACCGCAUACGUCCUACGGGAGAAAGCAGGGGACCUUCGGGCCUUGCGCUAUCAGAUGAGCCUAGGUCGGAUUAGCUAGUAGGUGAGGUAAUGGCUCACCUAGGCGACGAUCCGUAACUGGUCUGAGAGGAUGAUCAGUCACACUGGAACUGGGACACGGUCCAGACUCAUACGGGAGGCAGCAGUGGGGAAUAUUGGACAAUGGGCGAAAGCCUGAUCCAGCCAUGCCGCGUGUGUGAAGAAGGUCUUCGGAUUGUAAAGCACUUUAAGUUGGUAGGAAGGGCAGUAAGCUAAUACCUUGCUGUUUUGACGUUACCGACGGAAUAAGCACCGGCUAACUCUGUGCCAGCCGCCGCCGUAAAAC
rnacentral:rRNA from 1 species